GGGGAUUUAGCUGAGCAGAAUAAGCACCUGCCUUGCAAGCAGGCAGUCGUGAGUUUGAUCCCCA
rnacentral:tRNA from 1 species